AUCUAUUAUCCCAAUUAUUUUUCAGGGAGACAUCCAUUAUCAUAUUUCUGUCAUGUGCCCUCAGCUUGGGAGCAAUAUGGUACGCUCUAACAAUCCGAAACAAGAUGUUGACAUAUUUAGCAAUAGCCGUAUUUGGGUUUUUCCUGAACGCCUAUUUGCCAGCUGGAAUGGAAUUUGGCACAGAAAUAGCAUAUCCCUCUCCUGAAAGCACAAUAAUGGGGCUCGUUUACGCCACAGCAAUGACUAUGUCGGUGAUUCUUACUAUCAUAUUUGGAAAGGUCUUAACCUCAUAUGGAUCAUCUUGGUGUCUCUUUGGAAUGAUUGCAGUUUCAAUAUUAGGAUGUGGUUUAACAAUAUUAACACCAAAUACACUGAAGCGGCAAGAAGCUUACCAGAAAAGCAUUCAUGCAAAUUAUACACAGAUUCUUCAAGGAGAAAAUAAUAUCGAAAGAAAACUGUAGCUACUGUACACCAAAGAGUUUUAUUAUACUUUUUAAAAUCAAUUAGCAAUAUAAUAUGCAAUGUAGUAUAAUAUGCAAAAUGGAAAUUAUAUGUAAUCAGAAUAUAAUCAAAAGUUCAAACCAGA